rnacentral:rRNA from 1 species
GAUGAACGCUGGCGGCGUGCCUAAUACAUGCAAGUCGAGCGAACAGACGAGGAGCUUGCUCCUCUGACGUUAGCGGCGGACGGGUGAGUAACACGUGGAUAACCUACCUAUAAGACUGGGAUAACUUCGGGAAACCGGAGCUAAUACCGGAUAAUAUAUUGAACCGCAUGGUUCAAUAGUGAAAGACGGUUUUGCUGUCACUUAUAGAUGGAUCCGCGCCGCAUUAGCUAGUUGGUAAGGUAACGGCUUACCAAGGCAACGAUGCGUAGCCGACCUGAGAGGGUGAUCGGCCACACUGGAACUGAGACACGGUCCAGACUCCUACGGGAGGCAGCAGUAGGGAAUCAUCCGCAAUGGGCGAAAGCCUGACGGAGCAACGCCGCGUGAGUGAUGAAGGUCUUCGGAUCGUAAAACUCUGUUAUUAGGGAGGAACAAAUGUGUAAGUAACUAUGCACGUCUUGACGGUACCUAAUCAGAAAGCCACGGCUAACUACGUG